UACGGGGGGGGCAAGCGUUGUUCGGAAUUACUGGGCGUAAAGGGCUCGUAGGCGGCCAACUAAGUCAGACGUGAAAUCCCUCGGCUUAACCGGGGAACUGCGUCUGAUACUGGAUGGCUUGAGAUUGGGAGAGGGAUGCGGAAUUCCAGGUGUAGCGGUGAAAUGCGUAGAUAUCAGGAGGAACACCGGUGGCGAAGGCGGGAUCCUGGGCCAGUACUGACGCUGAGGAGCGAAAGCGUGGGGAGCAAACAGG
rnacentral:rRNA from 1 species